rnacentral:rRNA from 1 species
UACGUAGGGGGCAAGCGUUGUCCGGAAUCAUUGGGCGUAAAGAGCGCGUAGGCGGUCCGGUAAGUCCGCUCUGAAAGUCCGGGGCUCAACCCCGGGAGGCGGGCGGAUACUGUCGGGCUAGAGUCCGGAAGAGGCGAGUGGAAUUCCUGGUGUAGCGGUGAAAUGCGCAGAUAUCAGGAGGAACACCAAUGGCGAAGGCAGCUCGCUGGGACGGUACUGACGCUGAGGCGCGAAAGCUAGGGGAGCAAACGGG